rnacentral:lncRNA from 1 species
CCUCCGCGGCUGGGCGGCCGCUCCUCUGCGCCCCGCCGACCCCCCCGAGGUCCCCGCGCGGGGCCUGGAGCGGGGAGCGCGGGGAGCAGCCCGGGCGCCCCAGCUCGGCCGCGCGGGGUCGUCCGCUGCGCCCGGGAACCGGAGGCCCACAAGUUCCUUCCGUCGUUGGCUCCUUCGUUCCCGGUUAUGGACCAGAAGCCUGCAAGGGACAUGGCCGGGGACAGAGAGGACGAGCAAGGGUGCGGGAGUCGCAGCCCCCCAGGAGGGGAGCCAGCGGCCUGUGCUCUUGCAUCUCCCCCACCGCUAAGUGGACCUGGUGCAGGUGCCCGCGACUCCCCCACACCCACAAAGAAGGCGGCAGCAAAACCAAAUGCACAUCCAGGCGCUUGUCUGAAGCUAAGCUCUGGUAUAUGGAUCAGCCAAACUUGAGAUUUCAGUGAAAUGAAAGCAACUACUGCGGCCUGAUGCCACUGGAAACCCCGCACACGCCACCCUGGCACCAUGGAAAUUUCCUGUCUUCUCUAUGGAGGAACUCUGGGAGGCCACACAGCUUUAUUUAGCCUGGAUUCCUAUACCCGACACCUGGAACAUGGGAGCUAUGAAUGAUUGAUGAACUCUGAAGCUGCUCAGGAAUCUCUCCUUGCUUUAGGAAGCAGAAAGCUUGGCCCAGUUGUGCUUAUUUUAAAUAAAAAUAGUUGUUUUGUUUUGCUUUUUAAUGC